UGAUCAGUUUGUUGAAGGAGAAAGUUGAGAAGUUAGAUAAGAAAAUAGAGAAGCUCUUUGUUAAAGUUGAGACUCGUAAUACGACUCUACAUGAGGAGGUGAUAGAGUGCCUUCGGUCUUACUUUCAGAAGAAGGCAAGCGCAGACCCCAUAAAAUCUGGUGCAGAGAGAGGCAGUAAAGUUGAUGAAGUUGUAGUUGGCAAUAAUAAUGGAGAGUUUGGUGAUGAUGGUGGUGAAUUUGCUCGAUUUGCGAAUAUAGAAGAACUUAUUAAUAUGUGUAGAAAAGUUGAGGCAUAGAAGGGUUUUAAUAAUGUCUUGUGUGGCAAGGAAUGGGUGUUUGAAAUCGAGUGGCUGUGAAGAACUUUAUUCAUCAUCACCCUAUGUAGCCGGAGAUGAGGACGUGAGCUGGAAUCCCGUGCGAAACACCAUCACAAUUAGCUCCGUGAAGAUGGAGGCCUACGUUGAAGUAUGGUGAAACAAAUUCCCAGCAAUGUUUUGUCUUCUUAUGUUUAGCUUGAACAAGUUAAUAAAAAUCAUUCGUUGUAGGGAGAUCCGUGGGUGCUUACAGGAACCACGGUGACCCAAUGUUCUUCCUGAUGUGUGGAAUCUUUUAUGAAGAGGAUUGAGGAACCUUUUUUUAGUAACUAGAUUAUUUGAACCUCUAUGUUUAGGUUUGUUAUUAUCUGAUGUGUUAUCCACAUCAUGGCUA